UGAGUACGAGACGCUAAGGCGUCGAAGUAGUGGAUGUCAUACUUCCAAGAAAAGCUUGCACUGUCAUAAAUAAAAGACGCCUGUACCAUAACCAACACAGGUGGGUAGGUAGAGUAUACUAAGUGCGCGAGAUAACUCUCUCUAAGGAACUCGGCAAAAUAACUCCGUAACUUCGGGAGAAGGAGUGCCUUAUUCGUAAGGCUGCAAUAACAAGAUCCAAGCAACUGUUUAUCAAAAACACAGGUCUCCGCUAAGUCGUAAGACGAUGUAUGGGGGCUGACGCCUGCCCAGUGCCAGAAGGUUAAAGAAGUCGGUUAGCAUUAGCGAAGCUGGUAACUGAAGCCCUGGUGAACGGCGGCCGUAACAAUAACGGUCCUAAGGUAGCGAAAUUCCUUGUCGGGUAAGUUCCGACCCGCACGAAAGGCGUAAUGAUUUGGAUACUGUCUCGGAGAGGGGCUCGGUGAAAUAGACUUGUCUGUGAAGAUGCGGACUACCUGCACCAGGACAGAAAGACCCUAUGAAGCUUUACUGUAACUUGAAAUUGAAAUUGGACUUUAUUCGCGCAGUAUAGGUGGGAGGUGUUGAUUAUAAUCUUGCGGGAUUAUUGGAGCCAUCAGUGAGAUACCACUCUUGUAAUGUUAGAUUUCUAACUUUGAAUCAUUAUCUGGUCAAAGAACAGUUUCAGGCGGGCAGUUUGACUGGGGCGGUCGCCUCCUAAAUGGUAACGGAGGCGUACAAAGGUUUCCUCUGAACGGGUAGAAAUCGCAUCUAGAGUGUAAAGGCAUAAGGAAGCUUGACUGUGAGACCUACAAGUCGAGCAGGGACGAAAGUCGGUCUUAGUGAUCUGACGGUACUGAGUGGAAAGGCCGUCACUCAACGGAUAAAAGUUACUCUAGGGAUAACAGGCUGAUCUCCCCCAAGAGUUCACAUCGACGGGGAGGUUUGGCACCUCGAUGUCGGCUCAUCGCAUCCUGGGGCGGUAGUACGUCCCAAGGGUUGGGCUGUUCGCCCAUGAAAGCGGUACGCGAGCUGGGUUCAGAACGUCGUGAGACAGUUCGGUCCGUAUCCGGUGUAGGCGUUAGAAUAUUGAGAGGAGCCUUCUUUAGUACGAGAGGACCGAGAAGGACAUACCUCUGGUGUACCAGUUAUCGUGCCAACGGUAAACGCUGGGUAGCUAUGUAUGGAGUGGAUAACCGCUGAAAGCAUCUAAGUGGGAAGCCCACCUCAAGAUAAGUAUUCC
rnacentral:rRNA from 1 species